rnacentral:lncRNA from 1 species
AGAGGGUUGAGAGAGAGGAGAGGUGAGAUGUGCUUUGGGACAGAUAGAGAGUUGAGAGACAGAAGGGGUGGGAACAUCAUGUUGAAGUGAAGUUCAGACCACAUGAAGAAGCCACACAUAGGUGUUCCAUCCAACAGCCAACAUCAGCUGGUGUACAUGUUGUUUCUCCUAGAUCGUGUUUCCUGAGAAGCAAAUUUUGAGAUGGUUUUGAGUGAUGGAUGUCUACUUAAGAGUGCUCCUGGGAAUAACAUCUAUAAAAUCCUGGUGGAGGCAGAGAGGAGGAGACUUUGGACUGGGAGGGAGUUAAUAUACAAGUUUCCACUGAUCCUGUGAGACUGGAAUGACCCCUCAAAUUUGUCUCAAUUUGAGGCAACUUGGUCAAGCAUUAGUAUCCUACAAUUGAUAGGUUAUUGGGUGCCCAGAGAGAGAGAGAGAGAGAGAGUGAGAGCAAGAAUGAGAGUGAGACUGAAUAUGAGAUAACGAGAGAUGUAGAUAUACCUCAGGAUAUAAAAUUUAUUCAUUUUUUGUGUGAAGUGUAAGAUUUGCAUCUAGUAUCUUUAUUUUGCAUAAGGACAUCCCAUUGUUCCAUCACCAUUUGUUGAAAAGGUAUCUGUCCUCUGAAUUACCACUAUACUUUGUCAAAAAUCAGUUGACUAUAUUUGUGUGGGCCCAUUUUUGGAUGCUAUAUUUUAUCUUUGAAGAUAAUCUUUCCAAAUUUCAG